rnacentral:rRNA from 1 species
GGACUACCCGGGUAUCUAAUCCUGUUUGAUCCCCACGCUUUCGUGCCUCAGCGUCAAUUAAACCAUAGUAAGCUGCCUUCGCAAUUGGUGUUCUGAGACAUAUCUAUGCAUUUCACCGCUACUUGUCUCAUUCCGCCUACCUCUAGUCCAUUCAAGCCCAUCAGUAUCAAAGGCACUGCGAUAGUUAAGCUACCGUCUUUCACCCCUGACUUAAUAGGCCGCCUACGCACCCUUUAAACCCAAUAAAUCCGGAUAACGCUUGGAUCCUCCGUAUUACCGCGGCUGCUGGCAC